UACAAGUUCUUGCGUCAAUCGCUCAUUCCGUCAAACAUCGGAGAAGUACGAUUAUUGAUUAUCUGCGACAGUAAUAUAUGAGGACAAAAUAACCAAAUAUGCGGCGAAACGUUUCGCAUGUUUGUCGUUAUGCAAUGAAGGAUGCCGGUUUGUCGAGUAUUCAGAAAAUGGACCCCAGACAGGCGUGUGCGAUCUGUAUUAUUUGAAGGAUUCUAUGUUUGGCAGUUUGAAAAAAAUUCAAAUCGCAACCGGUUACAUAAAGGUGUAUCCAGGAGACAAAGUGUUCGUUGGUAUACCGGAUCACCUAAAUUGGAACCGUUCGCAGCAAAACUGUGAGAGUUUAGGAUGGAGACUGGCCAGCGCUGAAUCAUCGCUCCUUUUGGACAGAACCAAGACUCUGAUGAAGAACAACCACUUCUGGCUAGGGGCAACGCAGGAAAGCGGCGUAUGGCGUUGGAUUUCUGGUGUUGUAAUGUCGACACCUCCGACGGAGAAUUAUAACACGUGCUUAUUGAUAUGGUAUGGUUCGCUAGAUGACGCAUCCUGCGGAAAUGAUCUGAACCCGCAUGUUUGUGAAAUAAUAUUUUAACUCUUGCAUUCGGUUACGCAAUAAAAAAGACAUAAACAAUGUAGUACGUACUUCGUGGCUUUGAGUACUGCAAAUUUAUAAUUUAAAAAAGUAUCGUUUAAACAAUUGAUUACGUUCCAAUGAUCAAC